UACAGAGGAUGCAAGCGUUAUCCGGAAUGAUUGGGCGUAAAGCGUCUGUAGGUGGCUUUUUAAGUCCGCCGUCAAAUCCCAGGGCUCAACUCUGGACAGGCGGUGGAAACUACCAAGCUGGAGUACGGUAGGGGCAGAGGGAAUUCCCGGUGUAGUGGUGAAAUGCGUAGAUAUCGGGAGGAACACCAGUGGCGAAGGCGACUACCUGGCCUGUUCUUGACGCUGAGGCGCGAAAGCUGGGGGAGCAAACGGGG
rnacentral:rRNA from 1 species